ensembl:lncRNA
GCGCAGCAAGGAAGGAUGAAGGAGCAGUGCAUCCACCUCUGUGGUCACUUUCUACUGGAGACACUUUGCUGACAGAGAGGAGGUGCACUCCUGGAUGACUUCAAGCUGAGGUGGGUGUAGUCAUCACUCCCCCCCUUGUCCCCCCCAAGUAAUUCCUGCUGAAUUGGUACUUACUUCUGACAAAUGGCUCUGAAUCACAAAGGAGUGUGUGUAGCUUGCAACUGCAAAUGAGAUAUUUAAGCUCCAGAGAGGGAGAAGUGCUCAAAUCCAUCCCAUUCUCACCCAUUUUAUUAGCUAGACCUAUACAACUUUCAGCUCUGCAUGUAUGGCUUUUGAGUGGAUUAUCCUUCUGAGGAGUUUAAUUCUCUCUAGUCUGUAGCUAAUUGCUCUCAGUUGACUGUGCAGGAUCUGCAGGCAGCUAAUGCCUCUCUGAAUCAUCCAGUGGGUCAGGUGCUUAAUUUUUUGACUCCAUAGCAAGCUGGUGGUGGCCACAUUAUCUCUGUCAGUCAUGGCCUGUGCUUAUGUGCAAAAGAUUAUCAUGAAAAUUCUCUGAAGGAAUUAGCAAGAUCUUGUUUUCUGAAUUAAAUUAAAUCUCAUUGCUGGCUGUUUAGUUGAAUGCUUGAAGAGGAGUCUGUUCUGAUUCUGCCCCUGAUUUAGGAAAGAAGCGAUGUAAACCAGACACAUCUCAUGGCUAUUGCUGUGAAACGGGAAGUUGCAACGCCUUUACUGACCUUCUGCUUCUAUUAACUGCUUAUUUUACACUACUUUGCUUUUGGGAGAGACGUUGUGUGUCUGUGCUUGUGAUGGGAAGCAAAGAGGAAGAAGAGAAUGUACAAAGCUAUUCAAUAGAGAGGGAAUAAGUGGUCAGGUAUCUUCUAAUGCAGAUGGUCCCUUCCAGUUUGCCUCUUCUCAUUUCUCUACCUUGUGUCUCUGGCCUGUUGACAAGCCCAUGAACCCUGGAGCAACCUCAACAGGCAGGAUGGAAUGAAAACAUGGGCUGAGACCAACCAUUGCCCCUAGCAGCACUUCUGAGUGCCCAAAUUAAGGAGACAGGCAUUUUAUCUCCAUCUCAGAUGAAGACUUUUCAACACUUAUCUCUGCCCUCGGGCUAGAUUAAAAAGCUCAUUUUUCAGCGCUGUGGUUCUGGCUGUGGUGGGUCUCCUCCUGCAGUUCCUGAUUUUCUGCGGUCACGUCACGGAGAGCCCAGCUGUCUGUUUGGGAUGCAGUGACUUGCACGAGGUGCACUGGUGCCUGGCAGGGUGAGACAAGCUUACAGAAUGCUCUUCCAACUCAUGAAACACAACCCCUUCUGCUCCCCAGUUGUACUAUGUCUAGGAAAGUUCUGCUUGAAAGAGCCAUCCACUGCAAAUGACGCUAAUGCUAUGCUUCAGGAGCACCUUCUCUAGGUUGCAGUGUACUAACCCUUUGUCUCCUGUGCUGAGAUGAUAAAAAAAUCUCAGAUUUUUGAACAUGACAGAGGCGGUGCGAGGGACGACUCCAAUUUUGGCUACCAGUCUCUGCAGGAAGAUUACUUGCUAUCUUAUUAAUUAGGGUUUGCUUUCAGGAGAGUAUUAUCAGGGUAGCUACCUUGUGUGCUCAUUCUUUUCCCUGUGGAACUGCUUAAAUGUUCGGUGAUGUGGCUACAAAGUCCCCCCUUGUGCCUUCCUUCACUUGGUGAUUUCAUUGCUGUGUCCCAGGCUGCUUCCAGUUCUGUUUCCCUGCCACCUCUGAGUGUUCAUCGAGUCCCUUAGCAAAUCUUUUCAUUUCUGCCUCAUAAGAAAGACUCCUGAGGUUUCAGUUUCUUUUUUUUUUUUCCCUUCUCUGUGAAAAUGUCUUUCAGCGGCUUGAUUUUUCUUGUGGAGGCGUUAUUGCUCAGAUAUCUGUAACAGUUUCACAGUUGCCUCCUCUGCCUGAGCUAGCUGAAAAGCUACUAAGCACAUAAAAUGUU